rnacentral:rRNA from 1 species
UACGGAGGGUGCAAGCGUUAUCCGGAUUCACUGGGUUUAAAGGGUGCGUAGGAGGGCAGGUAAGUCAGUGGUGAAAUCUUCGAGCUUAACUCGGAAACUGCCGUUGAUACUAUCUGUCUUGAAUACCGUGGAGGUGAGCGGAAUAUGUCAUGUAGCGGUGAAAUGCUUAGAUAUGACAUAGAACACCAAUUGCGAAGGCAGCUCACUACGGAUGUAUUGACACUGAGGCACGAAAGCGUGGGGAUCAAACAGG